rnacentral:rRNA from 1 species
GAGACAGCAGUAGCCGCGGGAAUACAGAGGGUGCGAGCGUUAAUCGGAUUUACUGGGCGUAAAGCGUGCGUAGGCGGCUAAUUGAGUCGGAUGUGAAAUCCCUGAGCUUAACUUAGGAAUUGCAUUCGAUACUGGGAAGCUAGAGUAUGGGAGAGGAUGGUAGAAUUCCAGGUGUAGCGGUGAAAUGCGUAGAGAUCUGGAGGAAUACCGAUGGCGAAGGCAGCCAUCUGGCCUAAUACUGACGCUGAGGUACGAAAGCAUGGGGAGCAAACAGGAUUAGAUACCCCCGUAGUCCCUGUCUCUUAUAU